rnacentral:rRNA from 1 species
AUGAAAGCCAUCCUCCGUAUGCUGUCCGAAGCAGAAGAGGGCGCCGUGGACCACUUCAUCCGGGUGUGGAUGAAGCAGGUGCGCGAGCUCGCCUACGACGCCGAGGACUGCGUACACCUCUACAUCUUCCGCAUCCGGUGCCGGCCAAGAGACCGCUUCCUCGUCUGGUCCAAGCGUGUCCUCGCGACGCUCUUCCCUCGCCGCCGGCUGGCCCGUGAGAUCCAGGAGCUCCGCGCUCGUGCAGUCGUCAUCAGCGAGCGCCACGCGCGUUACGGCGUCAGCCGUGAGGCGCUACUGCGAUGCACUACUUCUUCUUUAGCCGCUCCCACGCCCGUGCCCCGCCAUGCGCUCGGCCUGCCGGCAGCAAACGACCCCGACCAUCUCGUCGGCAUCACGGCGCAGGCUGAUAAACUGACCAACAUGGUGAAGGCAGUUGGUGGGAAUCUCAAGGUGUUAUCCAUCGUGGGAUUUGGCGGGCUCGGGAAGACUACACUGGCGAUAGAGGUGUGCCGGAAGCUGGAGGAGGAGUUCCCACACCAAGCGCAAGUGUCUGUGUCUCAGGCGUUCGGCGGCACAAAGGAUUUCGAGGGUUUGCUGAAGCGCGUGCUUCUGCAGAUUGUGAAGCCGAAGGCAGAUAAUGCCCAAGGCAUGAAGAUAGAGGAACCUCUAGAUAGCGUGGACAACAAGGAUGAAGGCGCCCUCAUCAGGAUGCUCCACGAGCUUCUCAAGGACAAGAGGAGAAAAUUGCCCAACAAAGAUACAAAGGCAUGGAAGCUUCCGAAGGCAAAAAAUUUAAACUAG